CGUAUGGUGCAAGCGUUAUCCGGAUUUACUGGGUGUAAAGGGAGCGUAGACGGACUUGCAAGUCUGAAGUGAAAGCCCGGGGCUCAACCCCGGGACUGCUUUGGAAACUGUAGGUCUAGAGUGCUGGAGAGGUAAGUGGAAUUCCUAGUGUAGCGGUGAAAUGCGUAGAUAUUAGGAGGAACACCAGUGGCGAAGGCGGCUUACUGGACAGUAACUGACGUUGAGGCUCGAAAGCGUGGGGAGCAAACAGGAUU
rnacentral:rRNA from 1 species